UUAUGCCCAUAUCACAUUGAAACACCCAUACUCAUCCAAUCACCAAAGUUAAGCAAGGUUGAGCCUGGUGAGUAGACAGAUGGGUGACCACUUGGGAAUACCAGGUGCUGUU